rnacentral:rRNA from 1 species
UACGAAGGGGGCUAGCGUUGCUCGGAAUCACUGGGCGUAAAGCGCACGUAGGCGGAUUGUUAAGUCAGGGGUGAAAUCCUGGAGCUCAACUCCAGAACUGCCCUUGAUACUGGCGAUCUUGAGUCCGGGAGAGGUGAGUGGAACUGCGAGUGUAGAGGUGAAAUUCGUAGAUAUUCGCAAGAACACCAGUGGCGAAGGCGGCUCACUGGCCCGGAACUGACGCUGAGGUGCGAAAGCGUGGGGAGCAAACAGG